rnacentral:rRNA from 1 species
CCUACGGGAGGCAGCAGUAAGGAAUAUUGGUCAAUGGAGGGAACUCUGAACCAGCCAUGCCGCGUGCAGGAAGACGGCCCUACGGGUUGUAAACUGCUUUUGCACGGGAAUAACCCUUUCUAUGUAUAGAGAGCUGAAUGUACCGUGAGAAUAAGGAUCGGCUAACUCCGUGCCAUCAGCCGCGGUAAU